GCAGAACGCGAAGAACCUUACCCACCUUUGACAUGUACGGAAUUUGCCAGAGAUGGCUUAGUGCUCGAAAGAGAACCGUAACACAGGUGCUGCAUGGCUGUCGUCAGCUCGUGUCGUGAGAUGUUGGGUUAAGUCCCGCAACGAGCGCAACCCUUGCCAUUAGUUGCUACGAAAGGGCACUCUAAUGGGACUGCCGGUGACAAACCGGAGGAAGGUGGGGAUGGACGUCAAGUCCUCAUGGCCCUUAUAGGUGGGGCUACACACGUCAUACAAUGGCUGGGUACAAAGGGUUGCCAACCCGCGAGGGGAGCCAAUCCCAUAAAGCCAGUCGUAGUCCGGAUCGCAGUCUGCAACUCGACUGCGUGAAGUCGGAAUCGCUAGUAAUCGUGGAUCAGCAUGUCACGGUGAAUACGUUCCCGGGUCUUGUACACACCG
rnacentral:rRNA from 1 species